CAAACGGGUGAGUAACACGUAAGUAACCUAGCUCUAAAUCUGGAAUAACUCUGNCAACGCGGAGCUAAUACCGGAUGUGGUCACGAUGCUGCAUGGUAUUGUGACUACAGGUGACCUCUCCUUGGAAGUUACCGUUUAGAAGAUGGGGCUUGCGGACCAUUAACUAGUUGGUGAAGUAACGGCUCACCAAAGCUACCGAUGGAUAGCCGGCCUACGAUGGUGAUCGGCCACAUUGGGACUGAGAUACGGCCCAGACUCCUAACGGGACGCAACACUACGGACUUUUGCGCCAUGGACGAAAGUCUGACACAGCAACGCCGCGUGAGGGAUGACGGCCUUCGGGUUGUAACACCUCUGUUGAGUGCGACAGAAAAGCUUUGUGGUUAAUAUCCACACGAGUCUGACGGUACCACUCGAGGAAGCUCCGGCUAACUACGGUGCCAGCAACCGCAGUAAUACGUAUGGGGCUAACGUUGUUCGAAAUCACUUGGGCCGUAACAAGAGUGUAAGCCGACCGGUAAGUUAGGAGUUACAUGUACGGGCUCAACCCGUGAUCUGCUUUUAAUACUGUCGGUCUUGAGUAUGGGAGAGGGAGAUGGAAUUCCAGGUGUACCGGUGGAAUGCGUAGAUAUCUGGAAGAACACCAGUUGCGAAGCCGGUCUCCUGGACCAAUACUGACGCUGAUGCUCGAAAGCUGGGGGAGCGAACAGGAUUAGAUACCCUGGUAGUCCCAGCCGUAAACGAUGGACACUAGUUGCCGGAGGAGUCAAUCCCUUCGGUGACGAAGCUAACGCAUUAAGUGUCCCGCCUGGGGAGUACGCUCGCAAGGGUGAAACUCAAAGGAAUUGACGGGGGCCCGCACAAGCGGUGGAGCAUGUGCUUUAAUUCGAUGCAACGCGAAGAACCUUACCUGGGUUUGACAUGGGGGUGAAAGUUUCCAGAGAUGGAAGCCUUUCCUUCGGGAACACCCCACACAGGUGCUGCAUGGUUGUCGUCAGCUCGUGUCGUGAGAUGUUGGGUUAAGUCCCGCAACGAGCGCAACCCCUGCCCUUAGUUGCCAUCAGGUAAAGCUGGGAACUCUAAGGGGACAGCUUGGUAUAACCAGGAGGAAGGUGGGGAUGACGUCAAAUCAUCAUGGCUCUUACGCCCAGGGCUAGACACGUGCUACAAUGGCAGGUACAGUGGGAUGCCAGCCUGCGAAGGUGAGCUAAUCCCUUAAAACCUGUCUCAGUCCGGAUUGGAGUCUGCAACUCGACUCCAUGAAGUUGGAAUCGCUAGUAAUCGCGGAUCAGCAUGCCGCGGUGAUACGUUCCCGGGCCUUGUACACACCGCCCGUCAAGCCAUGAAAGGCGGUAGUACCCGAAGUCGCGUACCCAACCGUAAGGAGGGAAGCGCCGAAGGUAAGACUGCUAAUUGGG
rnacentral:rRNA from 1 species